GGGUCCAAAUACGCAAAUAAAUGUACCAAAGACUAAUAAAAGUGGGUUUAGCAAAAAUAUGACCCCUUUAAACUUCUUCCAUUAUAAACCUUACCCUAUGCAAAAGCUGAUGUAACCAUCACUAUAUGGUUAGGUUUUCAUAAAAAAGAUGGAUAUUCAAAGGAUAAGUUUUCAGUUCCUUCCUAAUAAAGCUACAGUUAUUAGCUUGUAUCCACUCGUUGUUGUAUAGUGAGAUGCUGUAAAAUAUGGCCACUGGUUGUUACAUUUACACAGGAUUUCUGCAAGACAUAUAAUGGUAAAUCAACAUGGUAACCCCUCUCACACCAUCAACACCAGAUCACAGUAUUCUGAAAAAUUACAUGUAAUGUCUUUAUCACAGACAAGUUGAUAUGGAAAUAAUAACAGUACAAAAUUCUGCAGAAAAUGAAAGCACUUGAGGUAAAUUGUAAAUAUUUGUUCAAAGGAUAGUUUACAACAGUGAAAGAUUUAUCACCUACAAUGUACACUACCACUAAAAGAUGUCCUAGCAUAAGUCUUUGAUAGACACAUUUUUAAAAAUCCAUGCUCAGAUGACUCUGCACAUUGGUAAACAUUCAAAUACUGACAUAUUCUUUACUAACAGGUCUGUAUCUGCACUAAAUCAUGUUACAAGACACUACAGAUCCCAUGCAGUAAGAAACCAUCACCAAGAAAUGUUGUUUGAAAGGUGAUUGUCAGACAGCUCCUCUAAAAAUAUAUUCGAUAAGAAGGGAAAAAGUAAAAUCUUUUUCUGGAUGUGCUGCAAAAUUUUAUGAGUUUGUCCCAAGCCCUACCCUUCCACCACAUUUCAUAAAGAUUGGUCCAGUAGUUUUUACAUAAUCCUGCUGAGAGAGAAGCAAACCAACUAAUAAACCAUCAAAGAGAUGCAGUUGAAAACGAAAGCACCUUGGCUGACUUUGUACAUCGUCAACUG